rnacentral:rRNA from 1 species
AAUGAACGCUGGCGGCAGGCCUAACACAUGCAAGUCGAACGGAUCCUUCGGGAUUAGUGGCGGACGGGUGAGUAACGCGUGGGGACAUACCCUUUGGUACGGAAUAGCCUCGGGAAACUGGGAGUAAUACCGUAUGUGGUCGAGAGACGAAAGAUUUAUCGCCAAAGGAUUGGCCCGCGUUGGAUUAGGUAGUUGGUGGGGUAAUGGCCUACCAAGCCGACGAUCCAUAGCUGGUUUGAGAGGAUGAUCAGCCACACUGGGACUGAGACACGGCCCAGACCCCUACGGGAGGCAGCAGUGGGGAAUCUUAGACAAUGGGGGAAACCCUGAUCUAGCCAUGCCGCGUGAUCGAUGAAGGCCUUAGGGUUGUAAAGAUCUUUCAGGUGGGAAGAUAAUGACUGUACCACCAGAAGAAGCCCCGGCUAACUCCGUGCCAGCAGCCGCGGUAA